AGCAAUCCUAAUAUUUGAAUUGUUUCAAGGAUCCCACUUUAUUGGGUCAGCUCUUCAUGGCAGCUCUGCAGGGUCUCCUGGUGACGUCAGCACCGCAUCCCAGCCCCGCUGAGAGCAGGUAGACUCACGCACCAUGUAUAUCAAGUUGGCCAGAAUGCACUGGACCUCGUCAAUGUCCACAUCUUCCACGUGCAUGAACUUCAAAGCAACCAGAAAGGCGUCUAGAGACAGCUGAUGUGUCUUGAGUAACAAAUACCUACGAAGAAAAGAAACUACUGUAAGGAACAACAGGACUCAGUACUUCAGGGACAAGAAGAGGAGCCAGAGGACAGGAAGCGACAUUAUUUGAGACUCAGACACUGUCUUCUGCCUGGAUGGAUCCUGCAUGCACACAGUGCACUUCCUACAUACAUGCAGGCAAAACUCAAUAAAAUAAAAAUAAAUCUU
rnacentral:lncRNA from 1 species